rnacentral:rRNA from 1 species
UACGGGGGGGGCAAGCGUUGUUCGGAAUUACUGGGCGUAAAGGGCUCGUAGGCGGCCAACUAAGUCAGACGUGAAAUCCCUCGGCUUAACCGGGGAACUGCCUCUGAUACUGGAUGGCUUGAGAUUGGGAGAGGGAUGCGGAAUUCCAGGUGUAGCGGUGAAAUGCGUAGAUAUCUGGAGGAACACCGGUGGCGAAGGCGGCAUCCUGGACCAACACUGACGCUGAGGUGCGAAAGCGUGGGGAGCAAACAGG